AAGAAGACACAAAAUGUUGUCACCAAUGGGUCAUUCCAGUGCAAAUUUGCCCAAAUUUACCGAGAUUGUAAAGCUGUAUUCUGAGGAGUAUUUUUAGAACGUAUUCGCGUAAACUACUGAUAUUUUCUUUUCUAAUGUUGGGUUGCUGAGCUCAAAAUACGAGCGCUGACAGCUAACACUAUUUUGAAAAAAAAAUAAACAGACAAAGCUGGAGCAACAUUUGAAAAUGGCGGAUAACGUUUUUGACAGCUAGAACUUUUUUGAAAAAAAAAAAGGACAAAGCUGAAGCAAAUUCUUAGGUAUUGCGAGUAUUGCCCAAAAAGACACGCGGCAUACCAACCAAGAAACGACGCGCCGCACUUUCGGCAAAGGCGAUCUGUCAAAUCAGUUAAAUCCCAUACUGCACGUUUUAUUUUGUUGAUUUUCUUCUUCCAAUCGCUUGCCAUUAUUGCCAGGUAUGCUUUUCACUGCACUAAAAGUGCACAAAAUCGCUGACAACAAUGUCUACGGCACAUAGAGCUAUCUAAGCCCGAUCUCACACACACUAGCACACCAUUUGUUUUGCUGGCUGGUACAAAAUUUAACCUCACUUUUUUUCGUGUACGUACACGCAAUACAUGCGCACGUAGAUAUCUCUAUUCUAAAGGAGCCAUUUCACUAUCGCAAAAAGAAACAAACAAUCUCGCCCUUUUUCAUGUUUGACAAACUCGCAAACUUGUUUACGGCAAACUCGCAAACAAGGCAAAAUGUAUGCAGGCUGACGUUUGUACACACAAAUCCAGGCAAACAAACAAAGCAGGCAAACUGUCAAAAAGUACGAGUUUGUUUGUUUGCCGUAGUAAUAGCUCCUUGAAAUGCCGUUCGGCGUGUACCUUUGAAAGAAACGGACAAUAAAUUUUUCACAAAAUUCAAAGUGUUAAAAUCAAUAGAGCUUUAUGACGUUUCGCUUACGCACACUAGCGCACUAUUUGGUUUUGCUGGCUGACAAAAUUUAACCUCACUUUAUUUUCGUGUACGUACACGCAAUACAACAUACCCAGAGUUUUUUUUUAAAUGACCAAUAAACUAUUGUCUUUCAUAUGUUUAAACUGCCGUUCUACGCAUAAUUGUCCCAUGUCAUUUUUGGACAAUAUUGACUUUUUGACAUUUUUAAGUUAAGUUUGACAUAUACUUUAAGAAAAACAAAUAAAAUCUGGUACUUUGUUCGGAAACUCAUUAAAAACAACACCAAGUCUGUUUGUCCCAUCGUUAAAGUUCUACGCAUAAUAGGGUAAUCUACGUGCGCAUGUAUUGCGUGUACGUACACGAAAAAAAGUGAGGUUAAAUUUUGUCCGGCCAGCAAAAUCAAAUGGUGCGCUAGUGGGCGUACGCGAAACGUCAUAAAGCUCUAUUGUCCCACCAAGUAUUUUCUUAUACGGAAUCAUUAGUUUUAUUAAGUAUUAUGUCUUGUUUACCCAUUGUAUAGCAAGAGAAAUACAAAUAAGGGUGAUAAACUGCUAACUGGGCCGAUUAGGGACACAUAGAGCGAAUAGGAACCCACGGGACAAUUAUGCGUAGAAACACAGAAAUCGGUCGAAAAAUUUCAAUCGCGUUUUUCUCAGUUGCACUUUUUUGAACAUGGGACAAUUAUGCGUAGAACGGCAUUAUAGCAAUAGCAAAAUAAAUAGAUGGAUAGAUUUUACUAAAUUUUAUCUUAAAAUAAUAGGAAAAAUCUAGCCUGAUUUGAAAAUAGCCAAUGCACCAAUUGCAAACAUACAGCAUUUCACGCUCACACCGUAUGGAGUAAAUGUGAUAAACUAUAUGUCGACAUUCGGCGCAUCACUUUUUUCAAAAUACAGGAAAUGAUAGAAGGAAGGCUCCAUUAUGUAGAGCGGAAGGCUUCUGCAACACUUAGAACUCAGAACAGGCAUCCUCUGAAAUAAGAGAGAAAGACAAAUAUUAAAAUUGUGGUAUUAUCACUAAAUCCUAUCAUCCUUUCACCCCCCAAGACAUGGUCUAUCCUUCGUGCCUUCGUGUCUUGGGUGAUGGCGAAUUCUA